AUCAAACUGCAUUCUAGCUUGAAAGAAAUAAUUAUGAUGUUGAUUGGAAUGUUGAUUGGAAGUUUGAUGCUGAGCUGUUUAGAUAGUUUAUAUAUACAGAAUGUGCAGACAUUUCAAUAUUUCGGAAAAAGUGGGACUGGAAAAGUUAUAGAAAAACGCUGUUGCUUUCAGUGCAAUCUUGUCCAGAGUUACAACAGUUGGCGGUAAGGAGGUUGUGAAGUAUGAUAGCUUGCUGACCAAUGUCGGAGGGGCCUAUGACAAGUCCACAGGGAUAUUUACUGCGCCCUUUAAGGGUAUCUACACCAUUUCCUGUAGCGUCAUGAGUAGUACAAGCAAUUAUGUUCACCUCGAUAUCAUGAAGAAUGGAAAAAAGUUAUCCAUAGUCUUCUCUGCAUCUGGUACAAAUCCUCACUCUGCUCAGACUCUGCAACUACUUCUAAAUAAGGGAGACAAGAUUUGGAUUCAAAACCACAACGGAAUUAAAGCCAUUCUCCAUGACCAUGGAUCUUAUAAUUUGUUUUCUGGUGUGUUGAUAACACAAAUAUGAAAUAAAGGCCCUUUAAAGGUUGUUGUAAUUCUUAAACAAAUCAACAAUAAUAUGAAUAAAGUUUGAUGUGGUU
rnacentral:misc_RNA from 1 species